CCCGCCCCCGACGGCCCUGCCUCGCCACGCCUGGCCCGGCUCCUGCUCUCUCCUCCCCGAGGCUGUCCCGGUGAAGGGCGCCAUUGAGGCUCAUGGGGAUUUGAACCUGGCUUUUCUUCAUUUGGUGGUUGUGAACUCACCUUUCCGAGCAUCAUCUGUAAAAGGGACAACAACACCUAUUCCACAGGGCUGCCGGGCCAUCGCAUCGUCCCGGAGGUGGCUUGCUGGGAGCUGUCAGCCAUGAAUCCCCCGCAGAGGGGCAGCCGGCUCGUGCCCCUUCUGCCAAUCCAGGAACAGAAGCAGAAACAGAAGGUCAGAGCGGCAAGGGGCCUCCUCUGAGGUCACCGUGUCCAAACCCUCAUUUCGCAGCAGAGCACAGUAGUUAAACACAUGGAUACUGGCGCCCGGGAUCCUGUCUCCCCCGCUUCUUUACUUCGUGACCUUAAGUAAGUCACUUAAAUUCCACGGACUUCAGUUUCCUCAUCUGUAAAGUGGGGAUUAUACCUCAUGGAUUAGUGUAGGGAUUAAAAGAGUUAAAGUUUGGAACGUAUUUAGAAUUAUGCCUGGCCUAUAAUGAGUGCUAUAUAUAUUGUAUAUUUUAAUAAAAUCGGAGUCACUCUCCUGACUGGCUGGAUAGUAAAGGUGGAAUGACUGUUCUUAUCAUGGUUCUUGACUGGCCCCCAGGGAA